AUUGCUACUUAUCUUUCAUGACUCAUGAUCACUUUUCAUUGCAUGACUUCUAUCUUAUUAUCAGCUUUCGCUUCUGUCAUUUUUACUUCCUUUUAGUUGAUUUGGGUUGGUUUCAGUGUUGUCAAACAUCGACUAGAGUAGCGGUACAAUGUAGCAGAAUUCAACCAAUCCACUGUUGUUCCGUAAUAUGCUAUUUAGUAGUUAGUACAAAUUGUUCUCUUUUGGUACAACAACCAUCAGACAAAUCAAGGUAUGUUAUGCACUUAUAUAUGACAAACCAGAAAGAAUGAAAUAGAGAAACAAAAUCAAAAUUAUCUUAUUCAAACUUAUUGUAUAUACUUGUGUUCUUUUUAAUGUGUGGCAUGCUCGGAAUGAUUUGUACGACAGACUUCUUUUUCUCUCCAUUGAAUUGAGUCAUUGAUUGAGAGUAAGAGUAGAGUAGUAUGCAAUAUUGCAUACAAUCCCAUCUGAGAUAUUUUUCAAUAACAUGAGUGAAAUAAUUUUAGUUUUGAUUAAAUGUGUCAAUAUGGUAUCUUGUAUGAAAAUAAUCCUCAAUGAGCUCUUGGUUGCUAAUAUUGCUAAUAUCCCCUUAAACUCGGUCUUCUGUCUUUGGUAUUCGUUAUGUUGGUGGUUUUUUUCGGAAACCUAUGCAAGGAAUAACAAUAUUUUUAAGCAUGGUAGUCAAUCCCGGGCGAUCCCAGUGGGAUCCCGGUGGAGCAGAGCGGAAUGGAGCUCUGCCGGGACGGGAUGGGAUGGAGCGGCGCAGCUAAGCUUCUCGGUGGGAUCCCAGCAGGUUCCCAGUGGACCGGAGCGGAGCGGGUCCCGGGUUGCCAUCCCGGGUUAGGACUGGGANNNNNNNNNNNNNNNNNNNNNNNNNNNNNNNNNNNNNNNNNNNNNNNNNNNNNNNNNUGAGCAGUCAAGUACUGACAAUGGACCAGUGUGCUCACAACGGCUGAAACCUUAGAUUGAACUAUGUCAGAUGAAAAAUUUGAGGUAGGUAUCAACUGGAGAGCUUAACAAUCCGAAAUGAUUCUAUUAUUCUUGAACAAAUGAAUCUGUACAACUAUAUAUAUACAAGAGAGACAAUACAAUGACAAAGGGGAUUUUACCCAGGACAAAUAUUUCAAGGUAUUCCUGGUCAUAAUCCCAAGGGUACAAUGUGCUUUUAGUCUAUUUAAACUCUUGCUGCCAUCUUUCUUUUCUGUUUUUAUUGGGGAAUGAUGCAAUAUCGUAAUAUGCCAUGCAUUUUGAACUUUUUGGUGUUGCAGACACGUGGUAAUUUUAUCGUCUUUAUAACUUAGAUAUUGUAGCAACUAGCAUGCAGCUAAAGUUUUGGCUAUCUAUCUGUUCAAUAUCAGUGUGAAGUUUUCCUGUUAGGACAGUUUGCUGUUUUAUUUCAUUAUUGAUGAUGGAUUUAUAUGGGUAGCUUAUUAUUCAAAAGUAAAAGUAAUAAUUGAUUUUUUCUCAUGGUAAUUGUGCUGUUUUGUAGAAGCUGACAGAUGAUUACAUAAAGAAG
rnacentral:lncRNA from 1 species